rnacentral:rRNA from 1 species
AGAGUUUGAUCCUGGCUCAGGACGAACGCUGGCGGCGCGCCUAACACAUGCAAGUCGAACGGAGCUUAGAGAGCUUGCUUUUUAAGCUUAGUGGCGAACGGGUGAGUAACGCGUGAGUAACCUGCCCUAGAGUGGGGGACAACAGUUGGAAACGACUGCUAAUACCGCAUAAGCCCACGGUACCGCAUGGUACUGAGGGAAAAGGAUUUAUUCGCUUUAGGAUGGACUCGCGUCCAAUUAGCUAGUUGGUGAGGUAACGGCCCACCAAGGCGACGAUUGGUAGCCGGACUGAGAGGUUGAACGGCCACAUUGGGACUGAGACACGGCCCAGACUCCUACGGGAGGCAGCAGUGGGGGAUAUUGCACAAUGGGGGAAACCCUGAUGCAGCGACGCCGCGUGGAGGAAGAAGGUUUUCGGAUUGUAAACUCCUGUCGUUAGGGACGAUAAUGACGGUACCUAACAAGAAAGCACCGGCUAACUACGUGCCAGCAGCCGCGGUAAAACGUAGGGUGCAAGCGUUGUCCGGAAUUACUGGGUGUAAAGGGAGCGCAGGCGGGAAGACAAGUUGGAAGUGAAAACCAUGGGCUCAACCCAUGAAUUGCUUUCAAAACUGUUUUUCUUGAGUAGUGCAGAGGUAGAUGGAAUUCCCGGUGUAGCGGUGGAAUGCGUAGAUAUCGGGAGGAACACCAGUGGCGAAGGCGGUCUACUGGGCACCAACUGACGCUGAGGCUCGAAAGCAUGGGUAGCAAACAGGAUUAGAUACCCUGGUAGUCCAUGCCGUAAACGAUGAUUACUAGGUGUUGGGGGAUUGACCCCCUCAGUGCCGCAGUUAACACAAUAAGUAAUCCACCUGGGGAGUACGACCGCAAGGUUGAAACUCAAAGGAAUUGACGGGGGCC